GUCUCCAUAGCUCAAUGGAUAGAGCGCAGCCCUGCGAAGGCUGAAAUUCCAGUUCGAAUCUGGAUGGGGACA
rnacentral:tRNA from 1 species